rnacentral:rRNA from 1 species
GAUGAACGCUGGCGGCGUGCCUAAUACAUGCAAGUCGAGCGAAUGGAUUAAGAGCUUGCUCUUAUGAAGUUAGCGGCGGACGGGUGAGUAACACGUGGGUAACCUGCCCAUAAGACUGGGAUAACUCCGGGAAAACGGGGCUAAUACCGGAUAACAUUUUGAACCGCAUGGUUCGAAAUUGAAAGGCGGCUUCGGCUGUCACUUAUGGAUGGACCCGCGUCGCAUUAGCUAGUUGGUUAGGUAACGGCUCACCAAGGCAACGAGGCGUAGCCGACCUGAGAGGGUGAGCGGCCACACUGGGACUGGGACACGGCCCAGACUCCUACGGGAGGCAGCAGUAGGGAAUCUUCCGCAAUGGACGAAAGUCUGACGGAGCAACGCCGCGUGAGUGAUGAAGGCUUUCGGGUCGUAAAACUCUGUUGUUAGGGAAGAACAAGUGCUAGUUGAAUAAGCUGGCACCUUGACGGUACCUAACCAGAAAGCCACGGCUAACUACGUGCCAGCAGCCGCCGUAA